AGGCCUUUAAAAAAGAAGAAAGCAUAUUCUGAGGACAUUAACUUACAUAUAAUAAGGUACGUGAGCAGAGACGGAAGUUGAGAGGAUGAAGGGAAAACACAAAGAAACAUCUGUGACAUCAUUUUUCUUGCUGAAGGUCUCUGAUGGACUAGAGGCGCCAGAGUUCUGCUCCCCUCCCCGGAGAGCGCUGGGUCUCAGGAGUGCUGGAGGUGUGCGAGAAUACCGAAGAUAAAGUCCAUAGAACUCAAAAAGGUCAACAAGCUGAGGGACGCAAGGGCCCUCAGUGGCACUUGGGAGGGAGAAGAAAGCAACCAUAAGGGGGCUGGAGAGAUGGCUCAGCGGUUAAGAGCACCCGACUACUCUUCCAGUGGUCCUGAGUUCAAUUCCCAGCAACCACAUGGUGGCUCACAACCAUCUGUAAGGAGAUCUGAUGCCCUCUUCUGGUCCAACUGUGCAAGGGUAGCACAUCCCACAGUGAUCUGGGACUUCCAACAUCAAUCAUCAGUCAAGAAAAUUCCCUACAGACCAAGCUGAAAGGAAGUGUUUUUUCUUAUUAUUGCUUUCAAACAUAUGAUUAAGUGAAAUAAAAUUAAAAAGAUAUUUUCCCUGUUUUCCCUCUUUCUUUCCGGAACUCCGAAUAAGUGCCGCCUCCCUUUAGCCCUCAAAUAUCAUUCUUCCUGAUAAUUGAGAGACUUUAUUCUUUUGGUUUAAUUAUUAUUCGUGUGUGUGUGUGUGUGUGUGUGUGUGUGUGUGUGUGUGUGUGUACACAUAUAUACUUACAACCUGCUUAGUUCAGUUAUGCUGUUUCUGUUUAUAUGAUUACAGGGCUGACCACUCUGCACUAGAUGACCAAUAAAGUUUCCUCUUUCCUGAGUCCCCCCACUAGACAAUGGAUCACAGGCCACUAAGGACUGCUGAGAAGGACAAAAAGUCCACAGAAGCAUGUGGUCAACCACUGAGGAUAUGCUCGUGACCACCUUCAACUUCAUGGAGCUACCAGCCUUUCAAAUAUUCAUUAUUACCACCCCUUGGAAGCAUCCCUCAGAGACCUGUGUGCUGAUUGCCUGGUCGUCAACGUAGUAUUGAGGUCAAGUCUUGAUAGGAUUCAAAGGGCUGUACCUUCAUCAAAGGAUUAGUCCAUUGAGAAUUCAGUACCAGAUAGACUCUGCAGGGAUGGAAAUGGAGAAGAGCCUGAAGAAAAGGUCCAGUGACAGGACCAAAGUGGGAUCCACCUCAAGGGGAGGCCUCAAGACCUGACACCAUUACUGAGGCUAUGGGGCAUUCACAAAAAGGGACCUAUCAUGGCUGCCCUCUGAAAGACCCAACACGCAGUUGAAAGAGUCAGAUAGAGAUAUGUGCACUCAAUCAAUGAACAGAAGAUGCUGAUCCCUCUGGUUGAAUAAGGGAAAAGCUGGAGGAAGCCAAGGAGGAGGAGGGCAACCCUGUAUGAGGACCAGCAGUCUCAAUUAACCUGGACCCCCGAGAUCUCUCAGACACUGGAUCACCAACUGGGCAGCACACACCAGCUGAGAUGAGGCCUCCAACACACAUCCAGCAGAGGACUCUUGGGUCUGGGUACACUCAGAGAAGAUGCUCCUAAGCCCUAAGCGACUGGAGGUCCCAGGAAGUUUAGAGGUCUGGUGGGGUGGGUGGGGUGAGGACAGCCUUGUGGGGAGGGUGACAGGAGGAGGUGUGCGAUGGGGAACAGUUAGAGAGUGGACGAGGGGAGGAAUAAAAUCUGAAGUGUAAAAAUAAAUAAAUAAAUACAGUUUAAAAGAGAAAGAGGGUCUAACUGAUGGAAGUAGAUCAUUGCUAUAUGCUAAUAAAAGGCAUAAAUUUUGGGUGCUCUCUGUUCCUCAGCUUGUAACAGGUAGGAACCUUUGCUUCACUGAAUUCUCUCUGCCAUGGGAAUCAGCCACAGCACAAGCCCUCAACAGAGUCAACUAACAUUGGAGAGAAAACUCUGUAAUCAUAAGUUGAAAUGAAUCUCUCCUUUUUUGAGUUUCUCAGUCAUUUUGCCAUGAUAAUAUAAAACUAACACAACUUGACCUUAAACUUUAUGAUGUAACAGAAUAAAUAGUUCAGGCCCUGGAUCUCUCUAAUAAACUUAAUAACUACUAUCCAGUUUCUGUCACAGUGGGUCAAAUAUGGAAACACAUUAUAUAUCUGUACAGGUUUAUAGCCUUU
ensembl:lncRNA